rnacentral:rRNA from 1 species
AAUGAACGCUGGCGGCAGGCCUAACACAUGCAAGUCGAACGAGGCAGCAAUGCCUAGUGGCGGACGGGUGAGUAACGCGUGGGAACGUGCCCCUUGGUACGGAAUAGCCCUGGGAAACUAGGAGUAAUACCGUAUGUGGUCGAGAGACGAAAGAUUUAUCGCCAAGGGAUCGGCCCGCGUUGGAUUAGGUAGUUGGUGGGGUAAUGGCCUACCAAGCCGACGAUCCAUAGCUGGUUUGAGAGGAUGAUCAGCCACACUGGGACUGAGACACGGCCCAGACUCCUACGGGAGGCAGCAGUGGGGAAUCUUAGACAAUGGGGGAAACCCUGAUCUAGCCAUGCCGCGUGAUCGAUGAAGGCCUUAGGGUUGUAAAGAUCUUUCAGGUGGGAAGAUAAUGACGGUACCACCAGAAGAAGCCCCGGCUAACUCCGUGCCAGCAGCCGCGGUAA